GCUUCCCCCUCUCCCCAAACUAGACUUCCCACAACUUCCUAAACCUGAACUACCUAAGCCCAAUAUUCCUGAAAUGCCUAAACCUGAAACUCCACAACUCCCUAAACCCGAAAUUCCACAAGUGCCUAAGCCUGAAGUUCCACAACUCCCUAAACCUGAUAUCCCACAAGUGCCCAAGCCUGAACUCCCUCAAGUGCCUAAGCAUGAGAUCCCACAAUUGCCUAAACCUGAAGUUCCAGAGCUCCCUAAACCCGAGUUCCCACAAUUGCCUAAGCUUGAAGUUCCGCAACCCCCUAAACCCGAGAUCCCACUGUUGCCUAAGCCUGAAGUUCCAGAGCUCCCUAAACCCGAGAUCCCACAGUUGCCUAAGCCUGAAGUUCCGCAACCCCCUAAACCCGAGAUCCCGCAAUUGCCUAAGCCUGAAGUUCCGCAACUCCCUAAACCCGAGAUCCUGCAAUUGCCUAAGCCUGAAGUUCCACAACUCCCUAAACCCGAGAUCCCACAAUUGCCUAAGCCUGAAGUUCCCCAACUCCCUAAACCUGACCUCCCAGUACCUCCUCACAAUGCCAAACCCACCGAAUUGCCUUCUCCUUCGAAAAAAUUUGAAGUGCCAAAGCUUCCAAAACCUGAUAUUCCAUCUCUGCCUAAACCUGAACUUCCAGAUUUUCCAAAGGUUGAAAUUCCACAAUUUCCCAAGCCCGAAUUUCCGGAGCUUCCAAGACCUGAAAUGCCCCAUAUUCCAGAGCUUCCAAAACCUGAAAUGCCCCAUAUUCCAGAGCUUCCAAAACUUCCAUUCCCAACCCUUCCCAAAGAGACUCCAUUGCCUUCCGUUCCCCAUCCGACCACCACUGCUCCUUAAACUUUCUAUACUAUUACCAUGUAUAUCUGCCCGAUGAAGGUGGCUCCAUAUGUGUUCAAGUUUGGUUUGAUUAAUUAGUCUUAUGCUUUUAUUUCGAAUAUCAUGUACUUUUUCUCAUUUCUUUACCCUUAUACAUGCUUACGUUUUGAUUUAUAAUGGCCUUACUAUUACUUCAUCAUCACAUCAUGUAUUCAUCAUGUUCCGUUGAUUAUCAUAUAUCCAUUCUAAUUCUUCCAAUGGUUAAAAGUAUCAACCAUGGCGGAGCAUUAAUUAGAAAUGUCUUUGGAUUAAGGCAUGUGUAAUGGCUGCCGUCUUCUGCAAUGUCAAAAUCCUUACCCACAUUUGCAUAUAUAACAACAUCUUCAUCAAUUCUUUCGCUGCUUCUGGUGCUGAAAAUUGCUUGCUUUUGUGACAUUGAAGAUCCUAAACAGAGGCCUAAUAAGAGUGGCAUUUUUCUUUUCUCAUGUGAGUAGACCAUGGAGGAUGAGAUGGAUGUUAGUGCGUAUGUUGGAUCAAGGUGUAAACUAGUUGAUUAGUUUUGAUUUGUGGUUUAUGGUUGGCGCCAGAAGCUCUCGUUCCAGCUGUGGGCUGAUGAAAUGCAAGAAACUCUAAACACAAAAAAGGAGGGAUAUACCGCCUUUAAGCAUCACUAGAUUUUGGUAACGCGCGAUGUCGCUUCGUAUUUAGUUUGGUUUUAAUAUGAAGUUGAUUACCCGUUUGCAAUGUCAUUUUGUGCGAGGAAUGAAAGGUUGUGCAUAUUCUAUCAACAAUUG
rnacentral:lncRNA from 1 species